CGAGCGUUUCCAUAUGUUUCGCUUUUUGGGGCAUCAUGAGCGAGAUCAUGAAUUAUUCGUCAGAAUUUUGUUAAUAAUUAACAAACAACCAGUCUGAUAAUUUAUUCACCGCUCAUAUUAAUGGCGUUAAUAGAUUGGGACAAUUUUAAUCACAAGUGUAUGCUUAUUAUGAUGUCUCUUCACGCGUUAUCAUCCUUCUUUCUACUGCGACGGGAACCAGUUAUAAUCCCAGAGGAAAUUAAAGUUGAAAAAAAACGACAGUGCUAACCAAAUAACGAAGCAAAUUCGUUCUUUUAAAUUUUUUGGUGAUUUCAAGUUUCUUUGGCACAACAACAAUCAUGGCAAGCAAACCUGAAAAGACUAAAGAAAUUGAAAAAGCAGUAGUAUACGUAAAAAAUUCUAAUGACGAAAAGAAUAAAAACAUCGAGGCGAAUCGGAAGGAGGAC